UGGGGAAUUUUGGACAAUGGGCGAAAGCCUGAUCCAGCAAUGCCGCGUGUGUGAAGAAGGCCUUCGGGUUGUAAAGCACUUUUGUCCGGAAAGAAAUCCUUGGCUCUAAUACAGUCGGGGGAUGACGGUACCGGAAGAAUAAGCACCGGCUAACUACGUGCCAGCAGCCGCGGUAAUACGUAGGGUGCAAGCGUUAAUCGGAAUUACUGGGCGUAAAGCGUGCGCAGGCGGUUUGCUAAGACCGAUGUGAAAUCCCCGGGCUCAACCUGGGAACUGCAUUGGUGACUGGCAGGCUAGAGUAUGGCAGGAGGGGGGUAGAAUUCCACGUGUAGCAGUGAAAUGCGUAGAGAUGUGGAGGAAUACCGAUGGCGAAGGCAGCCCCCUGGGCCAAUACUGACGCUCAUGCACGAAAGCGUGGGGGAGCAAACAGGAUUAGAUACCCUGGUAGUCCACGCCCUAAACGAUGUCAACUAGUUGUUGGGGAUUCAUUUCCUUAGUAACGUAGCUAACGCGUGAAGUUGACCGCCUGGGGAGUACGGUCGCAAGAUUAAAACUCAAAUGAAUUGACGGGGUCAUAGCUGUUUCCU
rnacentral:rRNA from 1 species